rnacentral:tRNA from 1 species
UAUGUGUAAUUUAAAAAAAAUAUCAAGCUGUGACCUUGAAAAUAGAAAA